CUUAUAUAAGAUAGUGUAUCUUAUUUAGGGAAGUUAAAAUUCGGCAAAUGUAAAAUCUGGUAGAAUUAUUCUUAUUGGAUGGUUCUAGGAAUGGUAAAUGAUCUGAUAUGAACAGUACUUUAAUUGUAAAGUUACAACAUAAUAGGAUAUAUUGCCUAUGAGGAUUGUAGCCAGCAGUGGGAGAGUUAAUCAGUGUCAUCUGACUGUCAGCCAGAGCUUUUAUUGCCUUGUGCUGCACUGUUGUGAAGUUCUGUUUUCUGUCUGUGAAGUUGGUUUCUAAACAGUACCCUAUCAUAAAUCUUUUCACAAC